rnacentral:tRNA from 2 species
UCCCGGGUCGUCUAAUGGCAGGACUCUUGGUUUUGGUCCAAGCUAUGGGGGUUCGAAUCCUCCCCCGGGAG